rnacentral:rRNA from 1 species
UACAGAGGUGCGAGCGUUGUUCGGAAUUACUGGGCGUAAAGCGCGCGUAGGCGGAACGCGUAAGUCGAUUGUGAAAGCCCUGGGCUUAACCUGGGAACUGCAGUCGAAACUGCUGUGUCUUGAGUGCCUGAGAGGAUGGCGGAAUUCCCGGUGUAGUAGUAGAAAUACGUAGAUAGUCGGGAAGAACACCUGAGGCGAAGGCGGCUAUCUGGCGGUGCACUGACGCUGAGGCGCGAAAGCGUGGGGAGCAAACAGG